rnacentral:misc_RNA from 1 species
AAUUAUCAAGCCCAGGAUGCUUUGUUGUGUUCUUGGCCUUGGUUUAUUGGGCUUUGCCGUGCCCUUCAUUGGAACGGCUGGCCUUAAAAGCAUUAGCUGACUCUCAUGUGGGAUUGGUUCUACUUGGCGUGAUAAUGACCUGACCGCUGAGGACAUUCUUUGGGAUGGCCAAUUCCCAUUAGAGUUGCUACUAAUCUGGUUCUGCAGGUUCUCCUGAGAAAUCUGCUCCACUAUCAAU